GGUGGCACGAUGGGUUAGUGCAUCUGUCUGGGAGUCUGAAGGGUGAUGGUUCAAGCCCACCCAGGGGCG